GACGAACGCUGGCGGCGUGCCUAAUACAUGCAAGUCGAACGAGAGCAACCGGUGCUUGCACUGGUCAAUCUAGUGGCGAACGGGUGAGUAACACGUGGGUAACCUGCCCAUCAGAGGGGGAUAACAUCCGGAAACGGAUGCUAAAACCGCAUAGGUCUUCGAACCGCAUGGUUUGAAGAGGAAAAGAGGCGCAAGCUUCUGCUGAUGGAUGGACCCGCGGUGCAUUAGCUAGUUGGUGGGGUAACGGCUCACCAAGGCCGUGAUGCAUAGCCGACCUGAGAGGGUGAUCGGCCACAUUGGGACUGAGACACGGCCCAAACUCCUACGGGAGGCAGCAGUAGGGAAUCUUCCGCAAUGGACGCAAGUCUGACGGAGCAACGCCGCGUGAGUGAAGAAGGUUUUCGGAUCGUAAAACUCUGUUGUUAGAGAAGAACAAGUGCUAGAGUAACUGUUAGCGCCUUGACGGUAUCUAACCAGAAAGCCACGGCUAACUACGUG
rnacentral:rRNA from 1 species